CCACACCGUCGGCAUCAUUGUGAAGACAGAGAAUGCCACUGGCCCCAGCUCUUGCCCCCAGAGGAGUUUGGUUCCUGUCCCAAGCCUGCCCCCUUCCAUUCCCAGCUCUUGUGCCAGCAUCGAGAACACCAGCACUUUGCAAAGAAAGACUGUCCAAUCACAGAUAGGACCUCCGUUGACAGAUUCAAGGCCACUGGGCUCACCCCCAAACGCCACCCGGGUGCUCACUCCCCCGCAAGCAGCAGGAGAUGGUAUCUUGGCCACAGCAGCCAACCAACGAUUCAGCUCACCAGCGCCAUCGUCAGCUCUAGGAGUUCCAGAGCCUAUGGGUUGAGAAUCAAGAAGGGAACAUCACCUUGGGUCCGAAAUCCAGACCUGUCUCAGCAGUGGGGGAUUGGACGGUGGGUUUCCCUCAGGCGACGUAAGUAACAGUCUUCCUGCUCCGUCCCCAGAUGGCAAGGUCAGCCCCGGCACGUUAUCCAUAGGAAGCGCUUUAACCGUACCCUCUUUCCCAGCCAACUCUACUGCCAUGGUGGACCUCACCAACUCACUUCGAG
rnacentral:sRNA from 1 species